rnacentral:tRNA from 2 species
GGUGGAGUGGCCGAGAGGCAAGGCCGCGGUCUGCAGCACCGCGUACGCAGGUUCGACUCCUGCCUCCACCU